AUACGGAGGGUGCAAGCGUUACUCGGAAUCACUGGGCGUAAAGGACGCGUAGGCGGGUUGGUAAGUCAGAUGUGAAAUCCUACAGCUUAACUGUAGAACUGCAUUUGAAACUGCUAACCUAGAGCAUGGGAGGGGGAGAUGGAAUUAGUGGUGUAGGGGUAAAAUCCGUAGAUAUCAAUAGGAAUACCGAAAGCGAAGGCGAUCUCCUGGAACAUAACUGCCGCUAAGGCGUGAAAGCGUGGGGAGCAAACAGGAUUAGAAACCCUAGUAGUCC
rnacentral:rRNA from 1 species